rnacentral:rRNA from 1 species
UACGGGGGGAGCAAGCGUUGUUCGGAUUUACUGGGCGUAAAGGGCGCGUAGGCGGUCAGCACAAGUCAGUUGUGAAAUCUCCGGGCUUAACUCGGAAAGGUCAACUGAUACUGUGCGACUAGAGUGCAGAAGGGGCAACUGGAAUUCUCGGUGUAGCGGUGAAAUGCGUAGAUAUCUGGAGGAACACCGGUGGCGAAGGCGGCAUCCUGGACCGGCAUUGACGCUGAGGCGCGAAAGCCAGGGGAGCAAACGGG